CCUACGGGAGGCAGCAGUAGGGAAUAUUGCUCAAUGGGGGAAACCCUGAAGCAGCAACGCCGCGUGGAGGAUGAAGGUUUUAGGAUUGUAAACUCCUUUUGUGAGAGAAGAGAAUGACGGUAGCCCACGAAUAAGCACCGGCGAACUCCGUGCCCGCAGCCGCGGUAAUACGGAGGGGGCAAGCGUUACUCGGAAUCACUGGGCGUAAAGAGUGCGCAGGCGGGCUUGUAAGUCAGAUGUGAUCUCCUGUCGCUUCACUACAGAACUGCCUGUGAAACUAUGAGUCUUGAGUGUGGGAGAGGUAGGUGGAAUUCUUUGUGUAGCGGUCCCAUCCGU
rnacentral:rRNA from 1 species